rnacentral:lncRNA from 1 species
AUUUAAUGGUUAAAAUAUUUUCAUCUUCCAGGACCUGAACCGGAUUUGCUCUGUUAGAAUGAGUCUGAUGGAACACCUGAUCAGGAGAGAAACUGACACACAUGUAUCUUCAGGAUGGUUAUCUUUGUUGCCAGCAAAAGGCUGGCAAUACAAAUUCAAAAUGUAAGUAAUCCCAGCACAUUGUUUUGAUAUAUUGAAGGCUUGUGAGAAAUUCUGUUUUUAUUGUCUGAAUACAGUGGGAUUGGGAUCAAAGAUACAGCAACUUAUGUUUUUCCAAUUUUUACUCUACUUCUUAGUGGAAAUGGAAUAUUUUAGUCACAGGUAAUAACUAAGCUCUAGUUAUCAACCCUGUGACAAAACUAUUCAAGUAUGCAACAUAACUUUGUUCCUAAUUUUUAUAAUGGAUCUUAGAUUUUGCAAUCUUCUGUCCCACAGUUGUAAAACUUUAUGAUGUCCUUUUUUGUCUACUGAGACUUCAGGUGGUUAACAGCUGUAUUUCCUUCCAAGCCAAAAUGCAAUUGCAAUAAUGAUAUCCAUGUGCUUCGAUAAAGGCAUGUUGGCCUGUGGUUAUGUGUUAAAUAGGUGCCUUAAUACACAUACUCACACAGAGUCACAGAGUCAGCUGAAAUGGCAUUUCAUCUUGGUCUCAUGUAUGGCAGACUGUGUCAUGACAAAAAACAUUCAAAGAGAAUUAUAGUGGCUUAGUGUAGCUCUCUGUCUUUUGCACUAAAAGGGAUGGCUUAAAUGCUUUCACCCAUUGUUAGGAUGAUGUGAAACAGUGAGCAGUCUUUAUAUGAAUAGCACAUUUCAAAUUCAUGUCACAGGCAUGUGUGGGAAUAGCAGUAAUAAGAAGAAAAACAUAUCAAUUUCAGGGAAUUAGAGAUCUUAUAUGCACUGUUGGAAUCCUCUUUGUGGCAUGUAACCAAAUUGUUUUGUAUUGGGUAAAGCCGAAGGCAGUGUCUCUGGAAACCACAAUAAUUAAAGGGCAACAUGCUCAGAGAAAUGAGGAUUUCAACUUGUAGGAAGCUAAUGAAACUAGGGAACCACCUCAAUGCAUUCUCAGUCCCUGCCAGGCCAAUUUCACCACAGGGACAGAGCCAUUCCAAAUGACAGCAAGUCCAUCUCUCUGCCUACCCUCCAAGUAUAGGCUGUCCAGGAAGCAAAAACAUCCGCCUUCGGGAAAUCUUUCAGCAUCAUAAAAAUUCCCUGCUCCCCCUUCAAUCAGUUUUUCCGUCUGUGCUGGCGAGGAGGGUUGCCAGGCGCAGCCCGCAGGGAAGCCUGCACAUGGACAUGGCUAGCUCAGCUACCCUCAUCUUCUUCCUUUCUCUUUGCCUCCCUUCCUCCUCUUCCCAAAGUUAGCUUAUGUCCUUCAGGCUGAAGUCCAGACUACAGGAAUCUUGAGGAUUAAAAAGGAAGAAGCAAUAGGAAUCAUGACUAGAUUAGGUCUUCAGAGAUUACACCUUUUAUAAGUAACAGUUGUGAGGAAUUGUAAUACCAGUUUUCAAUGUUUGGUGUAACCUGCUACUUCAUGUAAAAAAAAAAAAAAACAUGUAAAGGACAAAGAGUCCUCUUUGUGGCAAUAAUGGUGUUAUAAUGUUAUUUUGGAUAUCAAGACUUCAGCCCUUCCUUUCUUACUUUGGCCUCCUGAGAGGAGGGAGCUCUCAAGGCAACCAUAUCUAUGUAUCUAUGAUACUCCCUGGCCAGUACCUCCAGUUGUAGCAGUAUGAUUCUCCCCCACUAACCAGGAGAGAUAGGUCCACCUGGGGUCUUGGAAUGAGUUAAUUUGGUUCUCUUUCCAAUUCCAACCCCACCUGUACCCUACCUAUCAUCUACCCCAUCACUGACACCCACACCACAAGUUCUCCCAGCACCUCUUUGUCAUUGAACUUUUGUUAAUCCUUCAGAUCCUCAACCCCCAACCCCAAACCCAAUGGCUUAGCAGGAUUUGGUGGAAGGAGCUGGAUCUCUCUCCUAGGAAAGAGAAAAGCGAGAUUCCAGGUGGACCCAUCCUUCCUGGUCAAUAGGGGAGCAAUCAUACUGCUACAAUGGAAGGUACUAGCCAGCAAGAGUUAUAGAUAUGGUUGCCCUGAGAGCUCUACUCAAGGGGCCAAACUAAAGCAGGGCUGAAGUCUUGGUGGGCCAGUGACUUCAAAGGCAGCAGCUCCAAGGGAUGCAGGGGUAGGGUGGGAACUGAAGGAAAGCAAAUAGCAGAGCCAGGAGCAGGGCAUAGAUUGUAUCAGAAAUGAUAACGCAUGCUUACCAUUUAUAUCUAUGACUUGUUUUUACUUGAUAUUUAAGUUAAUAAAAUUAUCAUAUGUAAAAUAUAUUAAAUAUUUACUUUCACUGAAAACUUUUAAAUUUUUAAAGAAUGAAUUCUGAACUUGUUUUACUAAAAUGACACCUAGGAAGCUAAUUAUGCAAAAUAAAUAUCUCAAUACUGAUGGUGUCAUUUUGUUUUGAAUUGAAUGGGAUCAUUUUAGGGAUUCCUACUCCUGCUCACACUCAAGCCCAGGUUUUCUUCAUCAGAGUUUGUGUGUCACUGCCCCUAGAUCAGAAAGGUCUGAUCUCCAGCAAAAACUCAAGAGUCAGCAGUAAGCCUGCCAGCUCCCACCCUGCCAGUCAGCCUAUCCAGUACUCCCCUGCAGGCUUUCCAGAUUCUAAGAGUCACAGUGUGCCAGGAGGUAUAUGGUGACAGUCCGGCAUAUGUUAUUUCUGUUCUUCAGGACACCUCAAGAGGUAGGAAUGGGUGAGGAACCUGCAAAUGAAAGAAGUGACAAUUUGGAGGGUUUGUCUUUUGUGAAUGUGACCUUUAUAGAAGAAAUUUCACACAGCCUUCUUCUCACGUGCCCUUCCAUCUUCUGCCAUGGGAGGACACAGCAUUCCUCUCUGCCAAAGAUGCAGAAAUGAGGUGCCAUCUUAGAAGCCAAAAGCAACCCUCAUACACUUGAACCUGCUGGUGGCUUGAUCCUGGACUUCCCAGGCUCCACACAUAUGAGAAAUGAAACUAUUCUUUAUAAACUAACCAGUCUAUGGCAUUUUGUUAUAUCAGCCCAAUGGACUGAAACACUAGGGAAAUACAAUUCUACCCUAGGGAGGAGCAGCAAAUAUUUUGAACAAUAAUACAAUAUUAUAGGCCCAAUAAUCAAACACAUGAAGCUAAAAAUCUGGAAAUUAAUGAAAAUUAAAAAGGGAGAUUAUAGAGAAUGAAAGGAAAAUACACUGGUCAAACAUAAGCAACUAAAGAGAAAGUGGUGUUUGAUUACAACAAAGUCUCAGUAAAGAUUCAGUUAUAAUGAUUCCCAUGCAAUGUUUUAUAAAUGACUUGGACAGAAUCUGGUAGAACUGACCUGUAGAACUUGGAGCUGUGGUGAGCUGAAGAGGCAGAAUUCAAGGAAAAUAUUUCUACCUAACUUAGAGACUAUGAGAAAAGUUAUAAUCAUUUGUUAGUAUUAGGGGCAAGCAGAGAGUGGGUAGCUUGACAUUUCUUUAACAAGCGUAAUUCACCAAUAGUCCCUCAAUAAUCAAAGACAUCUAGAACCACAUGGUAGAGAUCAGCUGUUUGGUGGUGAAACCAGUGUGGCCCAGAAAGGAGACUGCAGCCUAGAAAGAAGAAAUGUCACAGUUUUGAUAGGGCCAAUCUCAAUUGGCAGGCAGCUCUGAGAGCUAAAACACAUUUGACUCUGACCUUUGGUUGUCACAUAAUUUGCAUUGAACCUCACUGCUACUCAGUAUGUAGCAUGGCACAGGAAUCUCCUUUCAGUAUAGAUAGGAAGGCCUGAAAGGUCCCUGCCCAUUUGCUUGAGCUUCAUAAGUAGGCUACAUCUCUUCUGCCCACAGCCACCCCUGCCCCUCAGCCUGAUGUAGUUAGUGUAGUCAAUCAGGAGCCAGAUUGAAUUGUUUGCCCCUUCCUCUAAGAUUUUGGCUUUGCCUAAACACAAAUCUGAGCUCUGUUAAGCUCUAGGAGACCUAAUGCAGGUUCCCACACAGACCCACUGAUCCUGAAAUGCAACCUGAGUAAGUGGCAGAGGAACACUGCAGUUCUCUCUUAAGACCCUCUGGACCCUCACCCCCCAAAAAACACUUAACUGAGCUUUGUGCUCACUGACAAGGGAUGAGCUCCUAAUCGCCAGCUGCUCACAUGACAACUGGAAGCAGUACAAACAGGCCCAUGCUGGCAUGUCCUUGGUCAUUGUUUGCCCUCUUCCCAUCUGAAAGUGAGCAUGAUUAAUUAGAGACAUCUCUAUUAGUAACCCACCACCUUGUAAUGCCUGACCAUUCCUUUGCAUGCAUUAACCCCACCUCAUAUAUCCUAGGUCCUUUAUGAGGAUAACAGGUCAAAGAGGAGGUCAAACAUUGCCCUAAGCAAAGAUAAAGCUUGCUGAGCUUUAUUGGUAUGAAAUAACUGGAUUACAUACCAUGCAAGAGAAUGGCUCCAAGGUGAAAAUACCUUUAAAGUGAACUAAAGGAUGUGCCCAUUCAGGAUGCAGUGGAUACACAGGGGCCCAUUAUCUGCUCAGUACCCUUCUCCCCAAACAUACCAUGUCUUCAGUAACCACUAGCCACAGGGAGUAUCAUCUUUGGUCCAGUUAUAGCACCUCAUACACUUGGUUCUUAAAGGGAAACAUAUAAUCCAACUAGGAACAAACAGAAUCCUUCCCUGAAAUUUUCAAGUGAUAACUUGCCUCCUGAGUCUCCACUUCAGAGUGGCUCAUCUAAUCUUGUCCCUGACAAGGAAGUUCAAUGGCACUAAUUAAAUUCAAAUAUAUAUCAAGUAUGGCUGGUUCACUUUUUGGUUUAUUUUGUUUUUUUGUGAAUGAGAGAGAGAGAGACGGUGCACUGGAACCCACUGCUUAUGACCACAAAUCCAUAAACUUUGCUAUUUCCCUCCAGUUAUGAAUAAAAAUCUAUAGCUUUCUUGUCCUGGUGCAUGUGCCUUGAAUUCUACCACUCCUCUUCAAAUCACUGACUCCUUGAUCCUGACUAUGCAUCAUUUAGAAGCCAAGAAGUGGACCACAAGAAGUGCUAGUUCAAGCUCAUCUCCCUCAGCCAUUUCUAUCUUCCAGCAUCAGGGAGAAGUAGGCCCAUGCUGAUCCCAAGUAGAGAGGUAUAAGGCCUUUACAACUGUCCCUGAAACAACAAAGAAUGAUCAUGCUCUUAGAUAUUCCCUAAAUCUAUCUGAGUGAUUCUCCCACAGCAACACUCCCAGGCUCAACCCCAAAGAGGAAGAGUUGAGAAUACCUGGGCCUCAUGUUUGGCUGUUAAUCCUCUUUCUUUCCCAGAAGAACUUCCUACUUCCUCUUUAAAAAUCAACUGUCCCUAUAUCAAGUCCACCUCGUUUUCUGAGUGACAUUUCCCCCCUCCCACCUCACUUAGGAAAAUGAUAUUGAAAAGUCUGAAGAGAAAGAAAUUGAUAUCAAACAUGAUAAAACAACUGUAAAGUGUUUUGAGAUAGUAUCUACAGCAAAAAGUCAGCAAUAUUAGUUAAAACUUCAUAUUUAUUUAUUCAAUAAGUUUACAGCAAAGGCAGAGAUGCAGUCAUUGCCUGCAGUAAAAUCACAUUCUUACAGGAAGGCCGGUGAGGAGCCAACAAUCAAAAAAAUCUCAGCACCUGUCACAUUGAAUUACCUGCUAAGCCCCAUUUCUUCCUUGUUGAAAUAGGAAGAACUUCAAUCAAAGAACUACUUUUUCUAUUUCUUCUAUAGCAUCUAACACAAAAGUGGGGCUUUAAAUGUUUUUUUGAGAAGUUAAAUGAAUAAAUGAACAAAGAUGAAGGAACAGUGUGGUAAGGGCGUAUACCUGCAGGCUUACAUUCAGAAAGGCUCCCUGCUUUGACUGGUCAGGGGAUGGGGCCUCAGAUAUUCAGGGAGAAACUGGAGAAGAUGAUGCUUGAGGUGAGUCUCGCUGAGCAGACAUUGAAAGGUAAAGAAAGCUCACUUUACAGAGGCACUGUGAUAGGAAGGACCCCACCAUUUCCCAGCCAUUGCAUAUUGGAGCUGAAAAUUGUGACACUCCUAUAGGACUUGUUGAGUACAUGAAUUUGGUGUAGACCUAUACUUGUCCACACAAAUUCUAUCUAAAUGAGUUUUGUUCUGCAAGGAGGAGGAUUUUGUUUAUUUUCUCACCAUUGUGUCCCUUGCUUUAUAAUCACAGCUUCUUUUUCUCCAUCACUUGAGCAUAAGCUCAAGUUUACCCAUGAUUUCAGCCUGCAUAGCCCUAUUUGACCUCAAGUCAUUCAGCCAUUCAGUUUAUGCUCCUGGACUGCCUCUCUCUCUCCACAUUUCCAAACUCAAAUUUCCAGUGGCACAAAUCUGAUUGACCCAGUUCAUAUUUCCCAGUCAACCACAAUAUGGAUGAGAAAGUUGAAUGGCUUCUCUGGGUGAGGUACCCAGUAUGGGUCCAAUGGGCCUGGAUGCAGAGGCAGGUUACAGGGUGCCAUAUUUGGCUACCUUGGCAGGAGAGUGGCUAGCAUGGCAUUGCUUUAAAGAGAGUCAGUGAGGCAGGUGCAGAAUUGAUAUGACCAAUACAGUCUGCAGAGAGGACAGGAGCUGAAGGGAUAACAUCUUAUUCGUGCAUCUCCCAUGCCUUUGCAGUGCUUCAUAUAGGUUGAAUUAAUGGAUACAUAAAUGAGUGAACAUAUUAAUAUAUGAAAUCAAUGAAACAGAAGCAAAUGCUCCUCAAAAGACAUACUCUAACACCAGGACAAGAAGGGCUGUGGAUCCUGCUCAGCUGUCCAUCUGUACCAGAGCUGUGCCUGGAACACUUGUGUUCCUAGACACCAGACCUGCUCCUUCAUAGGCUGAACCUCUCUGUGUGCCAGGGGUUUCACCCAGAAUCUCCUUCUGACUGUGAAAACUUCCUCUGUGCCAACAAGAGGAGCUUGGCCCAAGAGAUCUCUGGAACAAGAGAGAACUUUCAGUGCACUACCUAAUUAAUCUCACUUUUGGCAAGAAUACAUGAAGUGUCAAAAAGCUCUAAUCAAACAGAUGCUUCUCCUGGGCUCUAACAACCAACAAAGUUGUCAGUUAUGUUGAAGAACAAAAAGCCAUCAUAUUUAAGAAUACAAAUAUCUUUGUUUGAAAGAUGUAGGGAAAAAAAGUACUGAGCUGGGACCCAGAAAGAGUGACUUUGAAUUUGACCUUAAACACGUCACUUGACUUCAAAGGCUCUCACUCUAAUUCUAGAGAGUCUCCUGAAUUAACAAGUCAUACUGGUCCAGGUUACCUUUGUGUGUGUGUGUGUGUGUGUGUGUGUGAGAGAGAGAGAGAGAGAGAGAGAGAGAGAGAGAGAGAGAGAGAGAGAGAGAGAGUGUAUUAAGGCAGAGGGAGCUUCAGUAUCAUAUAAUUUGAAACUGGCCUGAUAGGGAAAUUUGACUUAUUUCUCUAAUCCUAAUUUCUCCUAAGGUCAGAUAAAUAGUUUCAUUUCAGAUGGGUGAAGAGUAACUUAAGCACGAGUGAUUCCAUUGGAUUUUUAGCCUGGUCUGUCGGGGCCUAGGAGCUUAGUCCAGAACAAUAGCUUCUCGGAAUUUGUAUUCAACAGGGAUAAAGUCUGAUAUAAAAUUUUCAGCAAAGCUAAAGAAACUGCACCCUGAUCUUGAGGAAACCCUGAAUAUCCAAUCUUGUCCUUCAAGGUCUUUUUGUUUCAGGACAAGCAUAGAGAGAGUGGAAAGGAUCAAGAUAUCACAUCUGUCCAGCUGGGAAGACAACUGGCAGAGCUGUCCAGUAGGAAAGGAAAUUUCUAGUACUGCUAGUGAUCCAGAAUAUGUCAUUUUUAAAAGGCUGUUUGUCACUGAUAAAGAAUAUCUAAUGGUUAGUACAUUCUUGGUGUGUCCCUCUUUUGAUCUUUUAAGGUACCAUAAACAUACCUGGCCUUCUUCAUCCCAUUAGUGUACUCAAUAUUUAUAAAUGGCACUGAAUGCCAUGCACACCGGUGACAAUUUCACUCAGACAAGUAGUUCAGGCACUGAAGAUUUUAGGAUAUUCAACAAGACCCCAAGAGUCCAUAAAGGUAUGAAAUGGUGAGUGAGCGUUUUCUUCCUGUGCUGCCUCCCAUCUCAUUCUCUGCCAGAGAGAAGCACUGCCAACCAUUUCCUACAAGUUCUUCAGAAAUGUUUCCAUGUCCAUACAAACACACAUAGAGUAGAUCCUUUUUCCAAACAAAAACAACAAGGAGUUAAUUUUAUAGAUGCUCUUCUGUACUUAAUUGGGUUAUCCAUUAAAAUUUAUUAUACAUCUAUUAAUCAAAUAAAUGAAUGAGAUAUAUGAUAGACUUUGAUAUGCCCUAAAAUGGUCACCCAGUUGUAAAUUAUCCCUGGAUCCUUCCCAAUCCAUCCACCUUCUGGCUUUUGAAUAGAUUCUCCCCUUAAGCUUCAAUUAAGAGUGUUGUGGACAAUGACCUCCACUCUCUGCCUCAUUCAGAAAUUCUGAACAGACAUGACCGGCAAAGAGUAGGAGCACAUUCUGGUUUUCCUUGGCAACUUGAUCACACACUCUAAAAAAAAACACCCCAAAACUCACUAUUGCAUUUGAAACAAGCCUGAGUUUCAAGAUAAUUCUAUAUACAUAGAGUCUCAUUGAGGCUAAAAACAAUCUUUUUCAUGUAAAAUUCAAGCCAGAUCUGCCUUAAUUAAGAAAAAGCAAGGUUUAUGCCAUUCAUUCAGUCCUUUGCAUUCUAAAUAUUUAGAACAAAUAUUCUAAAUCUUUUAAAUCAGAUUCCUAUGAAUUACCUUAGCAAACCCCUUCCAGGCAGUUAGAAUGGAAAUCCAUUUCCAUUUUGCUACCGGUUGAAUGAAAACAGACUCCAAACUGGUCAGUACAGAAGAAUAAAAUUUGAUUACAUUCCUGGAUGAGACAGGAUCUCUCAGGGCCUUGAACUCCAAGUGUGGCUCUAGUCCAACCCUCCAUCUGUGCAGUGGCAGGGAGGCUACCUUAGCAGGGGUGCUGACUCACGGAUGGCUGCUGACAGGUGCCAGGAGCCAUGAAAAUCCCAAGUGUCAACCUGCCUCUUGGGCCUCAAGGUGUCAGGGAUCGGGGGAGGGAGCUCUACUGGUGCUAACACCACAGUACCCUGGUCAUCACUCCUCCCACGGAAGAGCUUUUCACUUCUCUCAGCUCUCCACACAGCAUCUAUAGGACAUCUCACAGGUCAAACAGUUAGACAUGUAUAUUUGUUCCCAGUGGAGUAGGCCCUCCACUGCCUAUUCCAUAAAUUUUCUCAAAUUGCUUAUCUCUACUACCCUCUGUCACCCUCCAGGAGGAUUUUACCCAUUCUGACAUCCCUGAGGGGAGAAGGGAACUGGCAUCUGGAAGGUCUUUCCUCACACAGCUGAGCUCCAUGGGAAUGCUGAUUAUAGAACUUGUCAUUUUCCCACUAUAGUACAGCACAGCAGAGGAAAAAACACAAAUCAAAUACACAGGAGACUACAUCCCAACUCCACCCAACAGACUCACAGAACUUGGCUUCUCUGAGCCUCAUUUCACAAUUGGUAAAAGUAAGACAAUUCCUACUUCUCGAGAUUACUGUGAGAACAAAGCAUAGCAUAGCUGUCCCCAAAUGACAGAUGGUAAUACAAACAUUAGUUUCCAUAUUUUUGCUUUCUUCUUUAAAUGGGACUCCCUAACCUAUGUCAACAAAAUCUCUCACCACUGAUGGUAAUCAAUCUUUUAAUGUGUAUACAAUAAGUAAAGAGAAGGUGUGCUGUCAAUUGAGAGCAGGGUAUAAAAUAUAAGACAACACUAAUUGCUAUAAUUUUAUAUGUUUUCUGUCUUGUGAAAAUAUGCUUGAGAAGUGUUGGCUAAAAUGAAGUGAGUAAAUUUACAUGUUAAAUAAGGUGGCAGUUAGAUGUGCCAUGUCUUGAACUGUGAAACCUGUAAGAAGCUUAAAAUGAUCCCUAAAAACCCCUGAGUUUGCUUAAGCCUAUGAGACCAACAAUUGGCCAGGACUUUCUGAGGCAUCACAUCAAAGGUGAGAUUCAUCUGUUCUCCUCUGUAAUUGGAGAGACUUGUACUUGGAGAGCUGACUGUCCAAGAAGGUGUGAUUCAUGGUAGAGAGAGCCAAGGCACUCUCCUGAUGGCAUAGAACAUCCUACUCUGGACCAUGGGGUAAUUUAAAAACAGUCCUUACCCAAAUGACUUCACAACUUCUGUGUUCUGAGCUGAACCUGGGCUGUACAUUAGAUCUUGAGGUCUGGUUUUCUAUAACUUGGCCUUGUCACCUAUUAGAUAGACAACGAAGUUAUUUGAGGGCUUCCUGAAUAAGACCUAGCAUGGUGCCUGGAACACAAUAGGUGCCCAAUAAAUGAUACAGUAAAUUUACAUCUACAGUUCCCAGUUGCCUAAUAUUUUAGAUCAGGUAUACAUGUGAAAUGAAUAGUCGUAGCCUCUUCAAGGUAAUUCUUCUUAUUGCUGCCUUUGAUAUUUAUUUGCAGAAAUAAUAAACAUAAAUAUCUGUGUAUUAAUGAUCUUUGACAGCUGACUUUAGGAAGGCCAUGGUCAUAUAGAAGAAGGUGGGAAGCCUCUUUGUUUAAAGGAAGCUGAAAGGAAAAGAGAGAAGUGAGGCCUGAUCCAACUGCAGACAGAUGUUCUGCAAUCACUCCUGGCUGCAGGAGACACUGACAGAACUGAAGUUCCUAGGUGGCUACAGACUAUCUAAAUGUGACAAGAAGGACCAUUUGUUAAAGCCCUCAAAACAUUGCCAGAGGCCAGCUUCAGAGUUCCGGCUGGGUCUGCCUCUCUGGGCCUGCCACCUGGACCACGAGGCCUGAAAGAUUACUUUGAUGGCUGCAUCAAUUUGGCAGAAAUGAAAAGGCACUGAGCUACCAGGCAAGCUGCUAUUAGUGGCUACGUUUGUGAUCUCCUGGCACUUGAAGCACAGACUGGCUAGCUUUCCAGCUUGCCCUGGCACUUAGGCCUGGCAUUUCCAAAAGUUCUGGCAUCAAAACCUAGGAAAUGGUACCUUUAAAAAAAUGUGGAAAAAGCUAAUGUUGUAUUGGCAAAGAGCUCACCUGAGGCCACCUCCAUCUGUUGUUUCCUCUCUUUAUGGCUCUCCAAUUUCACUUGCUCUUUAGCAGUCAGAGCCUCUUCUGUCCUUUCUGUGCCCUGGUUGGGGACAGUCCUGAGGAUGACACCCUCCUUCUUAUAGCCUGACAGCUGGGCAAGGCAGCUGAAGCAAUUCCCAUAAGCAUUAUUAGCCAAGCCUGGAAUGGAGGGAGAGAUGGUUUGACAUGAAUGGGACAUAACCUAACUUGCUGCCACAGACCAGCACAGGGAUCUAUCUGCACAGAGCAUGGAUAGCCAUUCUGAGGCAGCAGAAGUGCUCUUGGUUCUUCUGUAGCCCAAAGUGGGCCCAACAAGGAUAGUGGUGGGAUACUGAGCUUUCCUUGCCACCCUUUUGGGCAUCCACUAAGUUUCCUUAGUUUCAAGCCUCAGAAAGCAAGUAUGUUAAGAAAACAUGACAUUUCACUAAAAGGAUACUGGGUAGCUCACAAACUCAAAAGAAAUACUGACUACCUUUGUCUUAGAGCAAGAAGAAGGGAAGGACUUGGGAUCAAGAUAACAGGGCACAUAAUACAAAUGAAUCUCUUCAGAACAUUUUUUUUUCCAGAAUCCAACUGCUCAGGAUUUCUGGUGAAUCUCAUCGGCAAUAUUGGCAUUAAGUGAUCCAAACAAAUACAUCUGAUUGGCUUAUUUAACACACAUAGUAAGACUCUGCAGAGCACAGGGGAAGGUUCUUUCCCCCAAAGAGAAAUCAGGGCUCCACUAGAGAAGAGUUGAACAACAACUGGGUGUUCAAAACUAACUGGUGUUCUCACCUCAAACCCAGAGAAUCCCUUUUUCUUCACCCCUCUGUUUUCUCUAACUUGUCAAAAAUGGGAUAAUACUGUGAGAAAAAUGUGAAAGAUUUUAAAGACAGGAAGGGACUCCAUUACAGUUUGUAAGUAGGAUAGGCCUUGAGAGCAGAGUCUUGGAGCUAUUUCCUACUUCCUUGAAAACCUGAAUAAAGGACUAAUACUAUUCAUCUAAGCCAGAAAGUUGAGUCACCCAGAUCCCUUCUCUCCUCUCCCCACAAUCAAAUCAGGCACUAAUGUCUUUUUUACCCUCAGAAUAUUUUUCAUUUAUAAACAAGCUUUCAGACCCCCAACUUUUUACUUGUUGAGGACCAGAGUCUCUUAACAAGUCUCCCUGACUCCCUUCACUAUUCUUUUACACUGGAGUCAAAGAGUGCUAUUGGAAAUCCAAAUCUGAUCAGGUCUCUCCCUCUCAGGGACUUCCGGAUACAUGUAGGAAAGCUGUACUACACAGGCAGGGCCCUGUGAUGUAUCUGUGACUCACUUCUUCAGGCUUCUUGUGAGUCUCUUCUUUCUUCACAACUUUCACAUGAAGUUAGAACUGUUUCUCACUGUCCCCAACCGUUCCUCCUGCCAACUGCCAAAAGGGAAGAAAGGGACCUGGUCCUUAGACAUCAUCUCUCACCCAGAUAUUUGAACUCUCUCUCUAACCUGGCUUUCUCAUUAUCAUACAUGGCAGCCAAGACAGCUACUGCUCUGGGACCAAAUUGAAGAAAUGAAUUGAAAGGAAAAAAAAUAUCCUAGACAUCAAGACCCACAGUGCUCUGGGGCCACAUCUAAUUAACUUACAGCCUCUGAUGUCAACAGCUUCCAAGGCUGGUAUAGUGCUUUUACAAACACAUUCCAGAAGACUCAACAUGAUCUGGUGUUGACACAGACCCAAUAACUGUCAGAGGCAGUAGUUUUCAAUUUAUGAAUGCCAUAAAGCUUUGGCAAUAUGAUUGCUACAAUGUGUGGUGUGUUUUUGACAAUAAGCAGGAGGCGGGCAGAUGGGGGGCUGGGGAGGGUCGGCUCCACAUUUGGCCAAGGGCUCACAAAGGAAAACCUAUAAAGAUUUCUACUAUUGUGAAAAAGCUUCAAUAAUGACUGCAAAUAACGAAACCAGGAAUGUUAUGCAGUUCUUUAACAGCAAACUUGACCUGCACAUCAGUCCAAAGGUACAUUAGUUGUUCAGCAAAUAUUGGUUACCACCUACUGGGUACCAGGCACAUAGUGCAGGAUUAAUAUAGAAUAUGGUGUGAGCAUAAGAAAUGGGGGUAUGUUUAACUCCAAGGGAGUCAAUAAAUACUGUCCUGAACUGGAGCAGAAGAGCACCUAUGUUUUUGUAUGUAUGUGCAUAUACAUAUGUGCUAGAUUGAAACUCCUGAAAUAGAUUUCCUGUAGUUCUUGAAAGUAAGGGCAACCAGGUCAUUGAAAGCCAAGCAACCAGCAAAUAUUUACUAGCCACCAACAGGAUGCCAAGCAUGGUGCUAAAACCAAGAAGCUAAGGGGCAAAAUGUGUGGCUCUCCAAAGUUCGUGUAAGUUAAGAAUGGACAGGGAGUAAUACAUUUAGAUUCAUAUUCACAUUCAUACUCAUUGUCAGGCAAUUUCAAAUAGGAAAGUUGUAUUAUCUUAAAAAAGGUACCGCUUCCCACCCUUCACAAUGGCUGAAAUCCCAAAAACCUGACAACACCAAGUCCUGGCAAGGAUGAAAAGAAAAGAACUCCCACUUCUUGCUCACAGGAAUGCAAAAUGGUACAGACACUUUGGGAGACAGUUUGGUGGCGUAUUACAAAAACUAAACAUUUCUUACUAUAUGACCCUGCAAUAGUACUCCUUAGUAUUUACCCAAAGUUCACCCACAAAUUGAAAACUUUUGUCUACACAAAAACCUGCACAUAGAUGUCUAUAGAAGCCUUAUUUUUGUAAAUGCCAAAACUUGGUGUGUUAGUCAACUUUUUGUCACUGGAAUCAAAAUACCUGACAAGAAUAGCUUAGAGGAGUAAAAGGUUAUUUUGGGCUUAGGGUUUUGGAGGUUCCAUGCAUGGUCGCCUGACUCUAUUGCUCUGAGUCAAGGCGAGGUAGAGCAUCAUAGUAAAAAAGCAUAGAGUGCAAGAAGAAAGCUGCUUUUCUCAUGACAGCCAGGAAAGAGUGAGAGAGGAGAGAGAAAGGAGGAGCCAGGGAGACAAGAUACUCUCAAGGGCACACUCCAGUGACCUACUUCCUCCAAGUACACCCCACCCGCCUAUAGUUACUACCCAAUACAGCAGUUUUUUUCACAUUAUUAAUCCAUCAAAUGGAUUAAUUCACUGAUUACAUUACAGCUUUCAUGAUCUAAUAUUUCACCUUUGAACGUUUCUGCAUGAACACAGGAGCUUUGGAGGAAUAUCUGACAAUCAAACCAUAAUACUUGGAAACAACCAAGAUGACCUUCACGAGGUGAAUGAGUAAACUGUGGCACGUCCAAACAAUAGAAUAUUAUUUAGUACUAAAAAUAAAUGAGCUACCAAACCAUGAAAAGACAUAGUGGAACCUUAAAUGCAUAUUACUAGGUGAAAGAAGCCAAUCUGGAAAGGCCACAUAUUGUAUGCUUCCAAUUAUAUGACAUUCUGGGAAAGGCAAAAUUAUGAAGGCAAUCAAAUGAGCAGUGAUUACCAGUUUUUAGGGAAAGGGAGGGAGGAAUAAGCAGAGCACAGCAGAUUUUUAGAACAGUGAAAUCCUGCAAACUACAAUAGUGUAUAGGGUACAUGUUGUCUUACUCCAUUUUAUUAUUGCUACCACAAAAUACCUGAGACUUGGGUAAUUCAUAAAGAACAAAAAUUUAUUUUUCAUAGUUCUGGAGGCUAUAAGUUCAAGAUCCAGGCUCCAACAUCUGGUUUCUGAUGAAGGCCUUCUUGUUGCAUCCUCCAGAGGGGAGGAACAGUGUCCUGUCGUGGUGGAAGGCAGGAGGGCAAGAAAGAAUGAACACUGUGUCUCACAUGGCAGAACAGACAGGAGCAAACCCGUCCCUCAAUCCCGUUUAAUAAAGACAUAAAUUCAUUAAUGAGGGCAGAGCUCUCAUGACUGAAACACGCCCACUUAUGCUCCACCUUCCAACACUAUUGCAUUGAGGAUUAAGUGUCUAACACGUGAAUCUUUGGAAGGGACAAAAAUACUUGAACUAUAGCAUAUGUCAUGCCAAGACAUAUAGAAAGUACACUAAGAGUGAGUUAUGAUGUAAACCAUGGGCUUUUGUUGAUAAUGCUGUGUCUGUGUUUGUUAACAGGACUGUAAGGACUGUAACCAACAUAUCACUGGUGCCAGAUGUUAACUAUGGGGGAGGGGAGGGUUGGGGAGGAAUAGGCAAGGGAGUAUAUGAGAACUCUCCACUUUGCUAUAAACUUAAAACUUCUGAAAAAAUAGUCCACUUAAGUGGAUGAGCAAAUAAAAUGAAUGACAAAAAUAGCAUUCCAAACUUUGGACAGUUAUAGAUAAAAAUGAAAGGAUCCAGUGGUUAUCUUCUCUGUUUGAUAUGAGAAUAUUUCAUAUUUUUAUGCUGACAUCACUCCUUCUGGUUUGUGAGACUUCCUGGAUGAUUCCAGAGAGGCUGUUCCCAGCCCCAGAAGUUGUGCAAUCACUUCCACCAGAAGCCAGACAAGCUCAACACAGAGAGUGGUACAUGACGAGCUGUAAAGGACAGGUGCUGUCAGUGUUCUGUGACCAUGAAGAAUCCUGUUGAAGAGUUAGUCUUCCUAACCAGGCAUACUUACAUGGCCAAUGUAUUUAAGUGGAAAAAGAAAAGAGAAAAAGAAAUCUUGAACAUGAACAAGAUGGUCCCGAUUCUGUUAAGUAGACUGUUAAGUCUAUUUGAACUCACACAAAAGAUCCAAAGACAUAUGCCAAUUGUUAAUAACAGUUAAUAACAGUUGUCUCAGGAUGACAGCCAAUAAUGUGUGGUUUUUACCUUCUGCCUUAUGUAUCUCUACAUUCCAAAUUUUCUCCAAUAAACACAUUUUAUCUUUUAAUCAAAAUAAAGAGAGAUUGAGAGAACGACUGUCUAUCAAACAGAAUUGGGGGUUCUAGCUUUAUCAAACCAAAAAAUAGCUAGCAGGAAAUCCCUGCAACAUCUGACCCAGAAUGAGUUUCUGAAGGAUUGGGAUAUGCUUGGGUUUGAAAUGAAAGCUGUGCACAUAAGGGUAAAGUCCAUAUGUGCUGUUUUUAAGCCAACUACUUAGAUCGUUGCAGUAAGGACCCAUCAAGUUUGUGGACUCCAGAAGGGGAUCAAAAGAGCACAGGCAGGUUUUCCCUUCAACACUGAACUUCUUCACGAAUGGGGAGAAAAGGCUUCCUUCAAAGUAUAAAGGGCAAGAAUGUUGAGUAUGUCACCCCCAAGAGAUACAAAUAAUAUAACCAGAACUCUGGGCCAAAGGGCUUAAACUUUAAUAGGUUGAAGGUAGGGAGGUGGGGGAAGGAGACAGAAAUUAAAUAAAUCUGAAUGACAGCCAAGGAUCAAACCUAAGUAAUCCUACUUGAUACAGUGGCUCUUCCAAGAACCUAUUAACACCAUGUAACUACACCUGACACCUCCAAAACAAACCAUUGCACAGGGGAAACACACAGGAUCCACAUACCCCAAAGUCUUUGGAGCAGAACAGACAAUUCUUCCAAGAAAAUCUCAGUAAUGAAAAAGCAAGAUAAAGGAGCAUAUUUCUUUAAUGCUCCUCAAUAUUUGUGAGUGUGAGUUGCCUGUUCAAAUUCUCAGUUUCCUGGAAUGCACAUUUUGUAUUUCAUCAAAGGGCUCCUAUUUGACAAAUAAGAUAAUGGAUAUGUAGAUCCCAUCUCGGGAGUUAGAUGAGAACUAGAGGAUGGGCUAUGAAUUCCUAACAAAAGCUAUUAGGUCCACUGAGGUGUUGCUACCCUAGAUCCUUAUAAUAUAGUGAGAAACAUCCUGAGUCAGGAUCAUUGCUAAUGCUCCACACAUGUUGGGGGACAGUUGAAGGUCAGAUGUGUGAAGUCAAGUAGGUAUUGCUGCUAUUCCUAGGCUUUUAUGUAUCCCCUUAAUAACUAGAGCUUAAAAUUCUCAGAAGUUAUACAAAAUGGCAGAUAUCUCCACAGAGAUUAUAAAAGGAGGAGCAGGAUGGAUUGUGUAUUUAAUAAUGGCCUGUGUGGGAAGUUUUUAUGAUAUAUGAAUAACUGAUAUCCACAUCUCAUUUACUCUUCACAACAAAGCUUCAUGGUAAGUAGUGUUGCCACUCCCAUUUUACACAAAGAAACUGAGUCUCAGAGAGAAUGACUCACCCAAGAUGGGAAUCUAGAAAGUGACAGAGCUGGGUUUUGAACCCAGAUCUUACUCAGCACUUGUUCCAUGUUCCUACCUGAGGGCAGAGUGCUGAGAUGUUAUAGUUAAAAAGCAACUUCUAAGCAAGACCUGUGAGUGGAAGCCUGGAAAGUCUGAGAGCCUUUUCAGGGCAGAGAUGAGGCCCUAUUCAUCUUGUGCAUCAGGGCUUGUUGUGUCCUCUCAUCAUGUGUGGAGAAUGAAGGAGGAAGGGAGGCCAGAUAGACCCAGGGGAAUUGAUGUCAGCUCAUAUCAUUCCCAUCAUGGGCUCCAUUGGAAGGUGAAGCAACAAAACUUCUUAGAGCACCUUUGAGAGCAGGAGCAGUGUGGUCACUGCAGCUGUGGGUACAUGAACCUCCCUCCAUACUCUUUGGAGACUUUCAGAAACAGCCUUGGGCCACUUCUAAGGUCAGGGCAUGGGGUCCUGAUAGGACAAGUACAGAACUGAGAGGAAGACAUGAGCCAUUGACAAUUGAAGCAGGUGGGUGAUAUUUAAAUUAUCUUUGUUUUGUCAAUAGAGACCCACUUGUCCAAUGUGUCAUUUUAAACACAAUGGGCAAAAGCAUAUAUUUUCUUUCUUAUCACUUUCUGCAUCAGUAAAUAUAUAGAUCUCUAUCAAUGGCUGCCUCAUUCUCGAAAAUAUAUAAGAAUACAAUAAUUCAUUUAACUCAUGGACUCUCCACGGGCAUUUGUGGUGCUUCUAUUUUUUGUUAUUAUAACUGCUGCUGUGAACAUCCUUGCAAAGACAGAUUUCCUGAACUCAAUAAUGAGCAUUGGAUGGUCAGAAGACAGACAACUUCAAGGGCAGGCUUUGUGGCACAUUUGCACUUUGAGCUGGACUUUUGACUGGGUGGAGAAUGUAAGCAGAGUAGAGAGAAAGGUAACUGAGUAGACAACUGACCUAGAACAACAGCAGAGGCAGGAAAGGGAGUACAGAGGGGAAAAAGUGAAGGGGCUGGAAAUAAGAUUUCACAAAGAGAUUUGGAUGGACUGAGGAAGGCUUUGACUGACAGGCAAAGGAAUCUAAUAUCAUAGAUCAACAAAAUGGUAUGUUGAGUCAUUCAUCUCAGAGAGCACCCAUCCAGACCACGGCACUCAAUGGGUAACUUCAACUCAACUUUCCUGUGACUGUUACCAAGAAAGAAGAGUGCUCUUGGUUGCAGAGUAGGAGAUCUGACAAGAAAAUUUACAGACUCAGAGAAGUUUGGUGAGGUAAUGCAGGAGACAGCCCAGUAUGGAGUUGGCACAGCUGACUAUUAAUAGGACCAAUAGGCAUUAAGGGUGUUUUUUAAUCCUGGCAUUCUGCAGUCAGAAAUACAGCAUUUAAAAAUGUUGACAUGGUUCCAUGUGUCUUUACUUUUGAAUGAAGUAGCCUUCUCACAGGGGCAAGCUUGCUUUGAGGGGAGAAAAGGAGAAAGCUUACACAUCCAGGUGACUACUGGAAUUAAUUUUUAGAUGGCUUUAUCUCUGUAGUAUUCAAGCCCUCACCAUCUGAUCAUCCAAUUCACAUUGGUGUAUGUGGUUUUUUUCUUCUAAAUUUGAAGUUUAUAUUAGAGAUUAAGAUUUACUGCAUUUGCAGACCAUUUUUAGACUUUUUAUGAUAAAAGUGGAGUCAAUAGAGACCAAAUUGUCCAAUGUGUCAUUUUAAAUACAAUGGGCAAGCACGAGGGUGGCAGCUUUAUUUAUCACCACAUGGUUACUGAAGUGCUGGUAAAUGGAAUCAUUUGCUCUGCCACCACACAGGGAAUAAGUACAGCACCGAGGCUGGGUUUCUACAGCAGCUCUGUGAUCCUGAAUUAUGAAAAUAUUAGACGAGAUUUGGGAAAAGGGAGGCUCUGUUGUUUAUCUUACCUCCUUCGUGAAGAUUUUAGGGUGAGGAAAACCUAGAAUAAAGGCAAUAAAAAAAAGUUCAUCAAAUGAUGCCAAUUGGAAAUGGGCUAGAGAUGUCUGAUUUAUUUCCUCUAUUUGCCAUGUCACAAAUCGUGAUGCAAAUAAUGUCUUCUCUCUCUGGAGUGGAGACUUCAUUAGCAUUAAACCUCAAGUCCCACCAUGGCCCUGAAACAUUUGCUUUGAGCUGCCACCUUAAGGGUCAUCGUAUUGUUUCCAUGCAUCUGAGAGUUGAAUCCAUGCCUGCUUCACAUCACUGGUGAAUUAACUGUAUUUUUUCAGAGCUUUUAAUGUUUGUCCUUUGCUGCUAAGCUCUGUCAAAUCCAAAUGAUCUGCAAGCAUUUGAAUAUCUCUUUUGUUAAAGAGACACAACAUUAAUACCAUUUCUAGACCAGUUCCUUACUUCUGCCUACCUAACUUUUAGACCACACCCACAGGUCCCAAGCAUCAUUCCAUAAUUCUUGGGCACCCGCUGCAAGGCUUGUGCAUGACAGAAUCAUUUUCCUGGGAACCUUAUUCAAAGGCUUCAGUAUAAUGUGAGCCUUUCCCAUCAGAUCCAACUUCGGCUUAUCCCUCCGUCUUCAUCUGCAGCCACCAAAUUCCUUGGAUGAGUAUAAUUUUCUCUUAUUUUUGAACCUCUGCAAAAGUUGAUCCCUUAGGAAAAAAAAAUACGCAUUUGUCUUAGCUCAGGCUGACAUAUGUAAUAAACAUUCAAUAAGUGCCUGUUGCUUGGGUGCAUCAGUUAGGGUAAAUAUUAAUUUUAAAAACAAUAACAACAAAAAUUAAGACAUAGAAGUUUAUUUUUUAUACACAUGACGGUCCAGUGCAGUUGUUCCACAGGCAGUCUUCUGCGGAGUGAUUCAAAUCUCCUUUCUGUCUUGUUCUUCUAUCACCCCUGAGGAGCUUUAAGUCCGUCUAUUCCAGUCAGAAGAUGGGAAAGAAAGAAUGGGAAUGAUGUACCUAAUUGCUAAUUGCUUCUGCCUGGGGAUGACAUUCUUUUUCAAUCACAUCUAAUUGGUAGGAACUGGUCCUAGCUACAGGCAAGGGGUGAGAGGGCAGGGGAAACAAACUGCAAAACAUGACCCCUGAUGGGCAGCUGCUUCCAAACAACUACUUUUUACUAUGGAAUAAAUGAAAUCAAAGAUUUAGUACAGUGGAGAGAAGAAUGUUGGGACCAAAAGAAAAAAAAAACGUAUUAAAUCCCCCAAGCCCUCAUCUUUAGAAGAAGUAGGUCCAGAGCAGAUAAAUGACUGGCCUCAAAUCACACAGCUAUUAGUAGAAGACCUGGGAAUUGAACUCAGGUGACCUUGGUAUUUGCCCUAAUUGUUUGAAUGUGAAAGUCACCCCUACCUCUCAAAACUUCAGUUUUGUCAUCUGUAAAAUGAGAGGUUUGUGCCAGAUGCUUCCUAAGAUCCAGACCAGCAGAGUUGAGCUGAAGGUGCACAACUGAGAUCUUGGAGGUUUGUUCUAAGUGGGGUGCCAUUCAGGAUCCUCAGUCACACUUAGCAACCACCUGAGGAAUAAAAUUUACAUUCAUUGAUCGGUUAUUUUAUCUACACGUCCUCUAUUGAUCAGAAACCAUCCUUCACCACAAUGAAUAACACUGUGAAGGUGUUUCAGAAUCACGCAGUCAGAAACCCUGUCCAGGUACCUUCAUCCAUCCAGAAUUGGCCCGAGUUUGCACCCAAGGUCACUGAGCAUGACCUACAGGCCUGUAUCAUUCCUUUGGCAGAAGUUAGAUCUUCCACAGGGAAAAUGAGAAUGACAGUUACUAGGUUAUUUCAGAUUCUAGAGUAUUCAGAGUGUUAAUAUCAAAUCUGAUCUUUCUUUUUAAAUAGUUCUCAGCAUGCAUCUCAUGCUAUCUGGAGUUGUUCAAAAUCUCAAAUUUAAAACAAUUAAAUAAAAAGGAUAAAUAGGAACUGAAUAGCAUGCUGACUUCAUUAGAAGCCUAUUUUAGGAAAUAAAUAAAUUUAAAUGAGAGUAGUUCUCAAAACAAACUUAAAACAGAUAAACUUACUAGUUAUUCUUUAAAAGUUACUGAGAAACUUCAAAUAUAUUUUGGCCCAGAAACUUUUUUUUUACUAUAAUGAUUUUCUGGACUCUUACAUAGCUAAAUAACUUAUGCUUAGGUCUUCAAAAUGCAAAUUAAUAAGAAAGUGUCCUAGAACCCUUAUAAGAAUCAAUUUUCAGUUACACCAUUACAUCUUCUCAGGAGAAAAUGAAGUUUCCUUUAGUAUUUUGAAAGCCGUAUACCAUGCAUAUAACUCAAUAAAAUUAUAAUAUAUUGUCUAUACUUCGUAAACCCCAAGCCCUUUCACUAUAGAAGCCUAUUCUGACUCAUGUACCUCAUCUACUUUUGUCCUAGAGAAAAGCAUCAAGUAACAACUCCCCACCCCAUAUCCCUUAGGAAGAAUAUGUACUUCCUGAAGGUGGCAAAAGGAUGACAUAGAAAUGCCACAGCUCUAGAAGUUGCUAGCAAAGCACUCCCUAGGUUUGGCAAGGGAAGCCUUCCCACCCUCCCCCAGCCCUGCUGCUGCUAUGUUGCACAAAAUUCUCCUUCCACCUCAAAUCCAGAGCCCCUGUCUAUAAAGCAAAAAGGGAAAGGCAAGCAGUCUAAGAGUCUUAAUUCUUCUUUGUGGUAUAAGGCAACAUGGUACUGUGGCUUUUGACCUCCAGGGGUUGGAUGAGAUGACUUUCCACGUGGUUUAUUGUGAAAGGUUUUAUUGCACCUUCACUUCUCAGAUCCACCAAUUUAAUUGCCAUAAAAAUAGCUAACAUAUGUGGCAGGUUUUAAAAAUGUCCAUCUAACAAAUGAAUUUGUUUCUCAUGAGGCCACCCAGACCAGCAGCUUUUACCUCCACACAUCUCACUAAGGUUCUAAGAUAGACGGUUGGAGUUACCCUGUUGAACUGUAAUGAAUGUGGCUCCCAGGAGAAAGGAGACAAACUCUCUCCUUCAACCAUCAGACAGGUCUUGGUUGCCAUUUUUCAUCUCCCAUAUUGGCAAUAGUUCAAUUUGUUUGUUUUUCUUCUCUGGAAGGUAUUUGCUGUGGUUUUCACAUUUUUUUGUAUUUUUUAUUAGCACAUAAUAUAUGUGUUUGUGUAUGUAUUUAUGAGGUACAAUGUGAUGUUUAUAUUCACGUAUACAUUGGGUCAUGAUCAAAUCUAGGUAAUUAACAUAUCCAUCACCUUAGAUUUUUAUCACUCUUUCUGGUGGGUAUAUUCUUGUAUAUCUCAAAAUAACGAAGAGAUGUUUUUCAAAACAUCUCUAUACGAAAUAAUAUUUGUAGUCCUAGAUUUCAUGAAGUUGGAAUGAACUAACACAGCUCGUGGCUCCUAUCUCAAUAGGCUAUCUGAUACUAAGUGUUCCCAUUUGUUAACAACAUUACUAAUCAACAUUACUAACCCAUCUGUUAAAAACAGGGAAGGAGAAAUCUAUCAUAAUCUUCUAGGAGCAAUGCAACAAUUUCUUUGGCAAGAAGUCAUUGCUUUUUCUUAUGGUUUGGAUAACAUGUCUCCUAAAAGCUCGUUAGAUCAUAUAGGAAUGUUCAGAGAUUAAAAGAUUAGAUUAUGAGAGCCAUAACCUAAUCAGUAGAUUAAUCCAUUUACGAGAUACUAAUGUGAAUGGAUUAAUGGAUGGUAACUGUAGGCAGGUGGGGUGUGACUGGAGGAAGCAGGUCAUUGGGUGCAUGCCCUUGGAGAUUAUAUAUUGUCCCUGGAUUCUUGCUUUCUCUGUGCUUCCUCGCUACCAUGAGAUAAGCAGUCUUCCUCUGCCAUACCCUUCUGCCAUGAUGUUCUGCUUCACUCAUCCCCAGAGCAAUGGAGUCAGCCGACCAUGGACUGAGGCCUCUGAACCCAUGAGCACAAAGUAAACAUUUCUUCCUCUAAGUUGUUCUUAUCAGGUAUUUUGUAUACAGUGAUGCAAGCCGACUAACACACCUUUACAUCACAUUAUCUAGUAACAACAAUACUAAAAAAUUAUAUGUGGGUGUAUUUCUUUUAGCAUAAUGUAAGUUGCUACCUCUUAAAGUGAGAUUACCUAUGGAAUACUCCUUCAUGGUCCAGCUCAUUAAUGCUUUCUCUCUAGAAGAAAUAACUUGUGUGAUCUCUCCUAUGACCUUUCUCUUGUCACUUUUCAGGGUAUCCCUAGCUGUUCCUGGGGGACCCAAAAGUUAACUUCAAGGGGUUCACAUAUCAGGCUGCUAACAGCAGUUCCCUCUCCAUUCCUCUGUAGUUGUUCUCCCUCCAGUUGCAUACAAUUCAUCAUGAAGAGAUGUUGCUCCAUAGAAGAAUCCAGUACCCAUCCCUGGGUGCCAGCAAUGUUUCUUCUGUUCCAGGCACUGAAAGAAAGCUGAAAAAGAUGAAUGAUGGCCUCCUCCUGCCCUUCAGAACCUUACCUGAUCACCUACCUUAGGCUUCUCCAUCCGGGCCCAAUGAAAAUUUCUCUUGAGCAGUUCUAUCAGCUUCUGAUCUCUAGCCCUCUUUACAUGGUGGCUUGAAAUAAAUUCAAGGGAUCAUAGAGGGUCUCUUUCAUCUUCAUGGUUAAUAGGCAUUUUUUUAUCCCCAUGUCUUUUUCCCCUUUAAUAAUAAUAGUGGGGAGGGAAACAUUGUUUAAGGACUGGUGAUAGAAUUGACCUAAAGAAGACUUGUCUUUUGUUUGUCAAAACAUUUUGAUAAGCCACUUUGGCUAUAGUAGCAUGGUCCUUAGGGUAUGGGCUAUAUAAAACAGAAUAGUCUGAAAAUUGUUGAGUUUCCAGGAGCAGUACUAAAGGAAGGGGCCAAGGAGUGGAGAAAAACUAGGAGAGAUAAGAACUGAUAAGAGAUGAGCCAGAAAGAGAAUGAAUCUGUGACCCCAAAAGAGGAGAAAAUGAGAAAUUCACAAUGUAGGAUAUGACAUAUGGACUUUUUUGAAUAGAACUAAGUUUUUCAGUAUAAAGUUGUUUAUUUUGCCAUGAAUACCCAUCUUAUAUUAAAAGGAGCUAAAUUAAAUUUCUUUAAUGAAAUAAUCAAAUUCAUUUAUUGAAAUCCCCAAGGCAUAAGGUUUAAAAAUAAUGAUGAUUAUUAUUAUUCAUUCAUUAAUAUCCUUAAAUAUAUAAAAAUGUUAAAUACAGGGGCAUCCAAAUGAACCAAAGAUCAUUUUUAUAUUUAGCUACAUAUUGUAUGUACAAUAAGAGAUGUGGGAUUUUAUGGCUUUUUUUUUUAAGCACAACUAUUCUCACAUAUAUCCCCUUCCCCAACACUAUUUCUACUCAAUGCCUGGUGGUAAUGGUGUUUGGGAGAAAGUAAUUAAAGGAGGUUUUUUCCCACAUUUUUUAGUUAUAAGACCUAAAGAGAGAAUAUGCUAUAAGAAGUAAGAUGUGAGAAAAAUCAAGAAUUCAGUCUGUGUGUGUGUGUGUGUUGCUGAGGAUUGAACCCAGGGGCUUCUACAUGUGAGGCAAGCACUCUACCAACUGACCUAUAUCACCAGCCCAAGAAUUCAGAAUCGGAGUAUAAAAUAUUGUGGUGUGGGCAUGUUUUCAGAUAAAUAUAGGAUGUCCAUAAAUUUGAAUUUCAGAUAAAUAAUGAAUUAAUAUAAGUACAUUUCAAAUACACUUAUUCCAUUUACACAGAAUGUCCUAUAAUUUUAUUUGCAAAAUCUGGCAACCUAGAACACAAGAAUGCUGGAAUGUGUUAUCAGUAUCAAACAUUUUAAGUUAAGUAUCAUAUGAAGAGUAUUACUUGGAUACAGUGAAUUCUGAUUUCAAUAAGAUUAUUUUCAAAGGUACUGUAUUUUGAAUCAGGCUCAAAGUCCUUUACAAACUUACAUCGGUGAUAUGAUUUUAUUUUUACACUAUGAAAUACAUAAUCUGAGCAUCCUCAACAUCAAAACUAGAUUUGAGACCUUCAAGGAAUUCCUAACACCAUUAUCUUGCUGAUUAUCUAAAACACUAGCCAUUUCAUGUUAAAGCAAAUUGCUAGUUAGACCCUUAAAAUUGUAGAGAAAUGAAAUACUAGAUGGGCGAAUGAAUAACCCUUUAAUCCUGUUCCCUACCAAUAGGUCAGCUGACUGAAAUACCAUCUGGGAACCCUGAUCUAAGAAAGAUAGCAGAUCUCAGCUAGUCCAGCCUACUCAUCAGAUAACCAACUUGGAAUGGUUCACCCACUCUUCAACUCCUUGGCAACCAUAACCAUGUUUUUAAAAUGUCAAAAUUUUGUUUUUAGAAAGGAUCUGAGCCAUCCACAGAGGCAAAGUGAAACAUAGGAAAUACUUGUCAACUGAAAAAAAAUGUUAUUACAAAUGUGCUUAAUAAAUUCCA